UUCUCCUUAUCUACAGUCCCAGUUUCUACUCUUCAGGCUUCUAAUCCCAGUCUCCAUCUUCACACUUGCCAUGUGAGCCCUAAUCUCCCUCUCAACUUUCAGUCUCUUUCCCUGCCCAAUAUCAGUUCCCUUGUCCAGCCAGUCUCAUCUCCCCUGUCCAGCCCCAAUACCUCGUCCCCAGGCUCCUUGCCCAGCCAGUCCCAGAUCCCCCACUCCUGGCUCCUUCUCUGAUCAGUCUCUCCACUCCCUUCCCAUCUCUGCUCCUGAUCAAUCUCAGUCUCCCCUCACCACCUAUCUAGCUUCUUGUCACACUCUCUUUGUCUAGCCAGUUUACAUCCUACCCCCUACCCCAGCUCUUUGUCAGACUGGUCUCUCUUACCACCCUAUCUCCCUAUCCCUUCUCCUCUAGUUCCUAUUUCUGGUCUCUUUGUCUAAAAGUCUCUCAAUCCCAGCCUCCCCUGUCCCAUGGUUCCUAGUUUCAAGCUCCUUGCGCAACCAGUCCCUGUCUCACCAAAUUCUAGUUCUAAUCUACUCCCUUCUCUCCUCCUGUCUGGCUUUUGUGCUCUCUGAAUUUCCUCCUCUAUGUUGCAUGGGUGCCAGCAGAGUAGGGUUUGUCAGUGAAAGGAAAGGAGAGCCAGGCACCCUGCUCAUAGCCGCUGACUCUAUGGAUGCUUUGGGGCUGGAGCACCCACAGAGUUAAAAAUGCAGCUAGACUUUGUAAUGCACAUAAUUGGAAAUGCAUGUGACCCCUCCUCCUGUGGAAUUUUGGAUGAGAGUUGCCAGGCAGCAAACACCUCCACUCAGCCACCCUGCAAUAACAAGCUUGCAGUCCCCUUCCCACUACCCACUGUGGGCAUAAACCACAGGAAGUGCCACCUCAAGGGGUUGACAGACAGCAGCUUCACGGCACCUGAUUGGCUCUCUGACCUAUAUAAAUUCAAGGGGUAUUUCAGGAAGCAUUCAGGUAACCAUGUGGAUCACUUGUUAGCUGCCAUGACCACCUUGAAUUCUCUGUUGCUGAGCAUUGUGUAUUGACAUGUGUUCUGACUAGAUCUUGGCUCCCACUCAAACCACAGAACACCCACACAGACCCUCAUACUCAGUAUUGACCCUCAGCUUGAUCCCUGACCUGUCUCCAGCUCUGACCCUUGCCCUGAUUAUUGACCCGAAUACUGACUCUGAAUGCUGGUGGUUGUUCCCACCUUCUGAGCUCCUUCCACUAGUCCCACCUACCUUUGCUCAGGAUCCUGAAAGCCUCAUUCUGUCAGUUCAUCUGUACAACAGCUAUAAU